rnacentral:misc_RNA from 1 species
AAUUUUUGGGAUAAAGGAUGAGUUGAGUUGAAUUGUAACUAAAAUAAUAUAGAUUUGGAAAAUUCUAGAUUUGUACAAAUAUUUUGUAAAAUCCAUGGAGAAUACAAAAUUUAUUAGAAAAAAUCUAGAAAAAUUACUUGAUAUCCUAAACAUAUCAAACUUGGAAAAAUCAAUACACUUAAAUUUGAUACUAAAAAAAAUGUAAAAUUGACCAAAACUAACCUACAUGCAGAAACUCUAAAAUCAGGCAGCAACUUCAUAAAAUCAAAGAAAAAUACUAAAACAUCAUGAAAAAUCAUAAAAAUUUAGUAGAAGCUACCUAACAUAUCAAACUAAAGAAUUGUAAAAAGAAAAUAAUUAUUCUAUCAAAGAUCAAAUCAGGAAACUUAAUUGAAUUGACCAAAACCAAAAUCUAGAUAGCAUUGCACAAUAAUUUUGCAAAAAUUACUCACACCAGUCUACUAAGGAUUUUGUAAAUAUAAAAAUAUGAGAAUAAACUAGAUAUCUUAAACGAACACAGAAAAAAGAAUGACUGAAAAUAAGCAAGAUUUGACCCCUGAACAAAUUUAUAAAUUCGGGUAUCAUAAAAAAAAAUCCAUAUUCAGUUCAUAACUUCAAAAAUUAAUAUCUAAACCUAUAAAACAAUUUUUUUUUUAGUGAUAUAAAAGGCUAUUUCAUAUAAAAAUAACCCAAUAAAUCUACUAAAAUUAUUUUCAAGUCCUAAAUCCAACAAUUACAUAAUGAAAAUGCAUGAAUAAUAGAAGUGAUGAAAUUGCAACUAAGAGAAACUAUAGGUGCCCAAUCAGAAACAUACUUUUAUUUAAUUGAUUUUCUUGGAAUUGUGAGACAGCAUUGGCACAUUGGAAGAUUUCAGAAUGUCAAAAAUACAACAAAAUAAAAUAUUUGGUGAUUAUUUAAAUUACUUAACCUAAAACUAUAUGAAAUUUAUGGUGAAUGGAGUAUAAAUGUAUAAAACUGUGUGCAAUUCUUGUGGAAUGCAGAAAGAACUACUAGAAAGUAGUCUUUCACACACUACAAUUUCAGAAAAUUAACCUAGAAUUUUCUAAUUUUUAGCCACCUUCCCAUCUCUCCCUAAAACCUUAAUCAUAAUAAUGUAUUUAUAAUAGGGAAGGUGAUUAGAUAAGCUAACCUAAUCUAAUUAGAUUUUUAGAAUUUAAAAAGAUAAAUAACUAAAAAUUAAAGAAAAAGGAUAUACUCAUCCUUCAAAAACGACAAUGCACCUUUUUCUUUUUUUAUUUAUUUUCUUUUUGUUAUUUUAUUAAUUAACCAAAUGGCUUUUUCAAUAAAGCUCAAAAUCAAGCCCGC